UCCGUGUAUCUGUUUGUUCCUCCAGCCCUGUGUGUCUUUAUAUCCCCCCCAACUCUUCUGUGUGCCUCUUUGUUUAGCUAAGCCCCUCUAAGUGUGCUCCUCCUUGUCUCUUUUUCCCCGCCAAACCCUGUUUGUGUCUUUGCCCCCAAAACCUCUUUGCCCCCUGUGUAUCUCUUUGCCACCCCGCACCACUCUGUGUCUUUUUGUCCACCCUCAGACCCUGUGUGUCUCUUUGUCCGUCCCCUCUUUUUGCUGUCUUCCUCCUUCUGCAGUGCCAUCUUACCUACUUGUAGCGUGGUCGAGUGAACUAUUCUGUCUGGGAGCACUUCCUGUUAGACUGGGUAGAGGAUACAGAAGAUUCUCUACUGCGGUGCCUUGGCCACACUACAUGAAAUGAUUGGCAGGAGGGGAAUGCGUGGGACAGAGACACGCUGGCUGUGCGUGGCUGGGAGAGAGAGCGACACACACACACACACAGGCUGUGCGUGGCUUGGAGAGAGAGCGACACACACACACACACACACAGGCUGUGCGUGGGUGGGAGAGAGAGAGAGAGACACGCACACGCUGGCUGUGCGUGGGAGAGAGUGAGAGACACGCACACGCUGGCUGUGGGUGGGUGGGAGAGACGCACACACGCACACGCUGGCUGUGCGUGGGUGGGAGAGAGGCACGCUGGCUGUGCGUGGCUAAGGAGAGACACGCUGGCUGUGCGUGGGUGGGAGAGAGAGCAACACACACACACAGGCUGUGCGUGGCUGGGAGAGAGAGCGACACACACACACACACACACACACACACAGGCUGUCCGUGGGUGGGAGAGAGAGAGACACACACGCACACGCUGGCUGUGCGUGGGUGGGAGAGACGCAAACACGCACACGCUGGCUGUGAGAGACGCACACGCUGGCUGUGGGUGGGAGAGACGCACACACGCUGGCUGUGCGUGGGUGGGAGAGAGGCACGCUGGCUGUGCGUGGGUAGGAGAGAGCAGGGCUGGCCCAAGAAGCCAAGCCCGCCCCCCCAAAAAAAGCUUUGCGCACAUCCAUUAUAUUAUACAGUGUGUGUAGUGAAUGCAUUGUGUAUAGUGGAUGCAGUGUCUAUGUGGGUAGUGGAUGCAAUGUCUUUACGUGUAGUGAAUGUAGUGCAGCGAGAUUGGAUAAGGGCUGUGAGGGGACAGUAGUUUUUAAAAUAUUUUUAUUAAAUUUAGGGGUUUUUUUUUUCCCUCCCUGCCUCUUACCUGUUUCAGGGUGGGUGGCACACAGGAUUCCCUGGUGGUCCGGUGGCACAGCAUACGGUGUCCUGUGAAGAAGGGACCCAGGAGUGUAAUAUUGCACAUCCUGUAGCAUCAGAUCCUCUCUUCUCGCGAACUGUGUGAGCGUUGCUGCAUGUUGCCAUGGCAACGCUACACAUAACAUGUAAUGCAAGUCGGGAAUGUUGCCAUGGCAACACUUACACACUCGCACCGAGGGGACGGGAGAGAGAGCACGACACACACUCGCACCGAGGGGACGGGAGAGAGAGCACGACACACACUCGCACCGAGGGGACGGGAGAGAGGGAGGUGCACCGAGGGGCAUGGGAGAGAGAGAGACACUCACAAUGAGGGGCAUGGGAGAGAGAGAGACACUCACAAUGAGGGGCAUGGGAGAGAGAGAGACACUCACAAUGAGGGGCAUGGGAGAGAGAGAGACACUCACAAUGAAGGGAUGGGAGAGAGACACUCACAAUGAGUGGAUGGGAGUGAGAGACUCACAAUGAGUGGAUGGGAGUGAGAGACUCACAAUGAGGGGAUGGGAGAGAGAGACUCACAAUGAGGGGAUGGGAGUGAGACACUCACAAUGAGGGGAUGGGAGAGAGACACUCACAAUGAGGGGAUGGGAGAGAGACACUCACAAUGAAGGGAUGGGAGAGAGACACUCACAAUGAAGGGAUGGGAGAGAGACACUCACAAUGAAGGGAUGGGAGAGAGAGACUCACAAUGAAGGGAUGGGAGAGAGAGACUCACAAUGAGGGGAUGGGAGAGAGACACUCACAAUGAGGGGAUGGGAGAGAGAGACUCACAAUGAGGGGAUGGGAGAGAGAGACUCACA